UAGUUUCUAAGUUUAUCACAUUAAAUGAACUUCAUUUUCAGAUAUUCCUCAGAACAGACCUACAAAUCAGUCUUGUUAAGACCUGGAACAAAGGAAAAGGGGAAGACUGUUGCUUUCUAUACAGGAUUUCCAUGGCGACACAGAAGAUACAGACCAGAUGAGAAGGAUGGAGGACAGCAGGACCACUUUGGGAGUGAGCAGGACUCCUCUGUGUUCCUGAAGCAGCUGAGACACCGGACGCCAACCAAUCAGCAAGACCCAGCACCAUACCAUAGCAAAAGGUGCAAGAUUAUUAUUAUUGUUGUUAACUAUUACUUGCUUCCAGGUACCAAGUACUGUCUGAAGACCACAUGAGAACACUUAGAACCUUGAGCCAUGAUGGUAAAGAGUGCCUCAGCCCAGCCAGCGCAGAGGACAUUAUCAUCUGCAACAAUAAUAUUAAAAUCUUUCAUGUAUAAUUCAGAAUUCUAA